UACGAAGGGGGCUAGCGUUGCUCGGAAUUACCGGGCGUAAAGCGCACGUAGGCGGGUCGUUAAGUCGGGGGUGAAAUCCUGGAGCUCAACUCCAGAACUGCCCUCGAAACUGGCGAUCUUGAGUUCGGGAGAGGUGAGUGGAACUGCGAGUGUAGAGGUGAAAUUCGUAGAUAUUCGCAAGAACACCAGUGGCGAAGGCGGCUCACUGGCCCGGUACUGACGCUGAGGUGCGAAAGCGUGGGGAGCAAACAGG
rnacentral:rRNA from 1 species